rnacentral:rRNA from 1 species
UACGUAGGUGGCGAGCGUUGUCCGGAUUUACUGGGCGUAAAGCGCACGUAGGCGGCUUGAUAAGUAAGAGGUGAAAGCCUGGAGCUCAACUCCAGAACUGCCUUCGAUACUGAGAGUCUCGAGUCCGGGAGAGGUGAGUGGAACUGCGAGUGUAGAGGUGAAAUUCGUAGAUAUUCGCAAGAACACCAGUGGCGAAGGCGGCUCACUGGCCCGGUACUGACGCUGAGGUGCGAAAGCGUGGGGAGCAAACAGG